rnacentral:rRNA from 1 species
AGAGUUUGAUCCUGGCUCAGGAUGAACGCUGGCGGCGUGCUUAACACAUGCAAGUCGAACGAAGCACUUUGAUCGAUUUCUUCGGAUUGAAAUUUUAGUGACUGAGUGGCGGACGGGUGAGUAACGCGUGGGUAACCUGCCUCACACAGGGGGAUAACAGUUGGAAACGGCUGCUAAUACCGCAUAAGCGCACAGUACCGCAUGGUACAGUGUGAAAAACUCCGGUGGUGUGAGAUGGACCCGCGUCUGAUUAGCUAGUUGGCAGGGCAACGGCCUACCAAGGCGACGAUCAGUAGGGGUUCUGAGAGGAAGGUCCCCCACAUUGGAACUGAGACACGGUCCAAACUCCUACGGGAGGCAGCA